rnacentral:rRNA from 1 species
CCUACGGGUGGCUGCAGUGGGGAAUAUUGCACAAUGGGGGAAACCCUGAUGCAGCGACGCCGCGUGAGUGAUGAAGUCUUUCGGUAUCUAAAGCCCUUUCAGCCGGGAAGAAAAUGCCUGUACCCGUCUAAGAAGCCCCGGCUAACUACGUGCCAGCAGCCGCUGUAAUCCGGAGGGCGCAAGCGUUAUCCGGAUUUACUGGGUGUAAAGGGAGCGUAGACGGCCAGACAAGUCAGAAGGGAAAGCCCAGGGCUCAACCCUGGGACUGCUUUUGAAACUGCCGGGCUGGAGUGCAGGAGAGGUAAGCGGAAUUCCUAGUGUAGCGGUGAAAUGCGUAGAAAUGAGGAGGAACACCAGUGGCGAAGGCGGCUUACUGGACUGGAACUGACGUUGAGGCUCGAAAGCGUGGGGAGCAAACAGGAUUAGAUACCCCGGUAGUC